rnacentral:rRNA from 1 species
UACGUAGGGUGCAAGCGUUGUCCGGAAUCACUGGGCGUAAAGGGCGCGUAGGCGGCUCAUGAAGGCUGUGGUGAAAGUCCGGGGCUCAACCUCGGAUCGGCCGUGGCGACUCGUGGGCUGGAGCACUGUAGAGGCGGGUGGAAUUCCGGGUGUAGCGGUGGAAUGCGUAGAGAUCCGGAAGAACACCAGUGGCGAAGGCGACUCACUGGACACGUAUUGACGCUGAGGUGCGAAAGCGUGGGGAGCAAACAGG